rnacentral:lncRNA from 1 species
CUCUCUCUCUGUCUACAUAAAGUUAGUAACUGUAGUUUGAGCGUCACUGUUCAUCUCAAUGCUCCUGUUUUCAGAUGACUUGGCACCCUGCAUCAACCCUCUGGAAUCUUCCGUUUUAUGUGAAGGGUGUAAAUGGUGAAUGGCUACAACUUCUAUUUUUAGUGACUAUGGAUGUUAUGAUGUAAAAAUAGAAUGAACGUUGUCAGAAAGUGGUGGGGAGGUUCAGCUGUAGUCUAACUAAAUCUAUACUGGAGUAGUGUGGGGAGG